rnacentral:lncRNA from 10 species
AGAAGACUUCACAAUUUAAUGCCUCAGUUUUUAAAAAAGGAUCCUUACACUUCAUGUCUCCUAGCCAUCAGAAGAGGAAUGAGACAGCAAAAGUUCAAAUGGCCUGUUUCAAGUUUCUGAUAUAAAACGAUGACAUUUUCAGGAAAAUCCUGCAUUUCCAGAGAGAGACUGGCUGGUUAAAUUUCUGAAAGAGGACACCAGCUAAAAGAAGGUAUUGCAUCUCACCCGAGCAGACUGUGUCUGUGGAAAGUGUAAGCCCCUUGCCAGAAGAGCAGCUUCCCAGCAAAGGCAGAGGGUGAAAACAGCAAAGGUCUUAAGACACUGGGGACCUAGAGUCAAAAGGGACCUCCUCCAGGGAAAACGCUGUGUGAGAAAUGGCCUCAUUCGGUGACUGUGAGUGACACAGCAGAAAGUUGGUAAGGUGUAGUCUGUAACUAGGGUAUCUACAAAAACUGCAGGAGAAAAUAUAUUCAUUUGUUUUGCUUUCCUUUUGAAAAAAAAACUUCCUUUUCAUUAUUUGUGACCAGAUGAUAGAAGCUGGAGUUCAUUCUGGCCUAACGGGUAGCACAGUAAAGAGAUUUCCCCAGAUUUCUACCUGGAGUUCCAGCCAAGCGAAAUAAUUUCCCUAGGAAAAUGAGGAAGUCCUUUGACCCACAGACACUGGUAGCUCAAGGCCUUUCAAAUAUUCAUUACUUUUAACUACUCUAAGAAAAUGUGUUACUCAUUUAACAGAUUUUUGUUAAGAAGCUAUUAUGUGCUAGGCAAUGCCAGAUAAUGAACAAAAUGUAAAGAAAUUUGUCCUUAUGGAGUGCAUAGAAUAAUGGGUUGGACAGAAAAUAAAUAGGUUAAAAUAUAUAAAAUAUUUGCUGCUUGUAAGUCCUAAGUAGAUAAAAAAUGAAGCCAGAAGAGGGAUAGGAAAUGUUGGGAGGUGGGAUAAAGUUUUCAGUAGGCUGGCCAAACAGUGCCUUGCUGAGAAGGUGACAUUUGACAAAAGAUCUCAACAAAGUGAAAGAGUGAGCCCUGCUGGUAUCCAGGGACAUUCCAGGAAGGGAAAACAAGUGUAGUGGCUGGAAACAGGGGCAGGUGCUUCCUUCAGGAAGCAACGAGGAGGUCAGGGGACUGGGCCAGAUUUAGAGGGAAAAAUAAAAGACCUAAUAUCAGAGGAUUAGCAGGGUACCAGAUUGUGUGAGGCCUUGUCAGAUGGAAAGCCACAGACAGGGUUGGACACAACAUUGAUAUGAUGUUUACAUUUUAACAGGGUCAUUCCGGCUGCUUUUUUGAGAAGUCCCUGAAGAGAUCAAUAACAGCAAGAGGGAACCUGGCAAGGAAGCUAUUCCUAUAAUCCAGGAAAGAGAUGAGGAAGGCUUGGACCAGGUGGUAGUGGUGUCAGGUAGUCAAAUGCUGGGUAUAUUUUGAAGAUACACCCCAUAGGAUUUGCUCCACAUUGAAUGUGGAAUGCUGGAAGAGAGAUAAAGUGUACCUGUCACAUACUUUUUGAGUUUUAUUUAUUUUCUUAGAAGUAAGUACACAAAGAGAUGCUACCUAGGAGAAGGGUAUUCUUUUCACUAUUCUUUCAAAUUUUCUGUAUGUUCAAACAUUUUCAUAGUAGAAAGUUGGGGGGAAAAUCUGUUUCAUAAACAUUUCCUCAGCAGCAGUCCAGUCUAUUGCAUUUUAAUUGGUUGUGAUAUCAUUG